ACGUAGGAGACGAGCGUUGUCCGGAGUUACUGGGCGUAAAGGGUGCGCAGGUGGCGGCGCGCGUGGGGGGUGAAAUCGCCCGGCUUAACUGGGCGGGGGCCUUCCAGACGGCGUGGCUUGAGCAGCGGAGGGGGACGUGGAAUUCCGGGUGGAGCGGUGAAAUGCGUAGAGAUGUGGAGGAACACCAAUGGCGAAGGCAGCCUUCUGGGCCAACACUGACACUCAUGCACGAAAGCGUGGGGAGCAAACAGGA
rnacentral:rRNA from 1 species